GUCGUGAGAUGUUGGGUUAAGUCCCGCAACGAGCGCAACCCCUGUCGCAUGUUGCCAGCAUUUAGUUGGGGACUCAUGCGAGACUGCCGGUGACAAACCGGAGGAAGGUGGGGAUGACGUCAAGUCAUCAUGCCCCUUAUGUCCAGGGCUACACACGUGCUACAUUGGCCGGUACAGAGGGCUGCGAUACCGCGAGGUGGAGCGAAUCCCAAAAAGCCGGUCUUGGUUCGGAUUGGAGGCUGAAACUCGCCUCCAUGAAGGCGGAGUUGCUAGUAAUCCCGGAUCAGCAACGCCGGGGUGAAUACGUUCCCGGGUCUUGUACACACCGCCCGUCACACCACGAAAGCGGGCAACACCCGAAGCCGGUGACCCAACCCUUACGGGAGGGAGCCGUCGAAGGUGGGGCUCGUGAUUGGGGUGAAGUCGUAACAAGGUAGCCGUACCGGAAGGUGCGGCUGGAUCACCUCCUUUCUAGGGAGCCCUCAAACGAGGGCCGGCUGUCAGGGCUAGUGCCCUGGCGGCGCAUCUAGAACGUCGACCAAGCCUGGAGCCGGCUCUUUCGAGGGCCGGCGCGUACUGCUGAGUUUUGAGAGACCACCCGGGGAGUCCCCCCGGUGGCACCCUCGCCGGACCUUGAAAACUGCAUUUGCAUGGCCAAACAACGGAAAGAUCACCGUUGAAAUACCGCGAUGCUUCGGCAUCGCGGGGCAUCAACGAUCACCGUCAAGAUAGUAAGGGCACACGGUGGAUGCCUUGGCACUAGGAGUCGAUGAAGGGCGUGGACGGCUGCGAUAAGCCGCGGUGAGCUGCUGAACAGGCUUUGACCCGCGGAUAC
rnacentral:sRNA from 1 species